AUCUGCCUUCUUUAUUUCAACAAAUUCCAGCUUGUCUCCUCGUCUGGAAGUUGAUUUUCAACGGACAGCAGAUUUUCUUCAGUACGUCGUUGUAGUUGAUUGCUUUUUAACUACAUAGAAAAUAGUUAUGUCAAAUAAAAUCGAGCCAAAAGCCGAAGUAGGGCGUUAUCAUUAUCGAAGUAUGCAUUUUCGUAAACGUUUACGGACAAGAAAAAACUGGACAGACGUGGACAAAAUUGACUGAUAAAGGAAAUCCACUAACACCUAUAGUAAUAUAUUACCACGUUCGGACAAAAUGGAAAAGUGAAAUUCCAUUACAUCGCUGGACAGACCUGAAAAAAUGGACAGGAAAAUGGAAAUCCUCUAACACCUAUCUGGGGUACAAAGGAACUUAGGUAACAAUUCUGGACAGACCUGAAAAAAUGGACGGAAAAAGGAAAUCCACUAACACCUGUAAUAAUAUAUUACCACCUUCGGACAAAAUGGAAAAGUGAAAUCCCAUUUCAUCGCUGGACAGCAGAUCUGUGGAAAGAGGAAGAAAAAGAAAAUUCAAACACCUCUGGAUGGCAGACCAGGAAAAAUGGAAGAAGGAAAUCCAGGACCCCUUGUUAGAAUCAAAUGUACUAGAUUUAGUGGAAUUAUGCUGAGGAUGACACUUUUGAAAUUGAUUCCUAUAUGAUUAAAUGCAUAGAUCUGACUGCUGUAAUUUGGAAUCUGUUUGAUUUAAUAAAUUAUUUUCUUGAUUGAUUUUUAAAUCUGAA